UACGAAGGGGGCGAGCGUUGUUCGGAAUCACUGGGCGUAAAGGGCGCGUAGGCGGCUCAUGAAGGCUGUGGUGAAAGUCCGGGGCUCAACCUCGGAUCGGCCGUGGCGACUCGUGGGCUGGAGCACUGUAGAGGCGGGUGGAAUUCCGGGUGUAGCGGUGGAAUGCGUAGAGAUCCGGAGGAAGACCGGUGGCGAAGGCGGUCUGCUGGGCAGUUUCUGGACACUGAGGCGCGACAGCGUGGGGAGCAAACAGGG
rnacentral:rRNA from 1 species